rnacentral:tRNA from 1 species
GGAGAGGUGCCGGAGUGGCUGAACGGGGCGGCCUGCUAAGCCGUUGUAGGGUUUGAUCUCUACCGCGGGUUCGAAUCCCGCCCUCUCCG